UGCUGUGAAGAGACACCAUGACCACGG
rnacentral:piRNA from 1 species